rnacentral:rRNA from 1 species
AGUGAACGCUGGCGGCAGGCCUAACACAUGCAAGUCGAACGGCAGCACAGGAGAGCUUGCUCUCUGGGUGGCGAGUGGCGGACGGGUGAGGAAUAUAUCGGAAUCUACCCUUUCGUGGGGGAUAACGUAGGGAAACUUACGCUAAUACCGCAUACGAACUGAGGUUGAAAGCGGCGGACCGCAAGUCGUCGCGCGGAUGGAUGAGCCGAUAUUUGAUUAGCUAGUUGGCGGGGUAAAAGCCCACCAAGGCGACGAUCGUGAGCUGGUCUGAGAGGGUGAUAAGCCAAACGGGAACUGAGGCACGGUGCAGACGCCUACGGGAGGCAGGAAUGGGGAAUAUUGGACAAGGGGCGAAAACCUGAUCCAGCCAUGCCGGGUGUGUGAAGAAGGCCUUCGGGUUGUAAAGCACUUUUGUUGGGAAAGAAAAGCGGUCGGUUAAUACCCGGUCGUUCUGACGGUACCCAAAGAAUAAGCACCGGCUAACUACAUGCCAGCAGCCGCCGUAA